CAGGCAUGCUGGAGCUCCGCAGCGGCGCCCGGGUCGAGAACCCGACACCGUACUUCCAUCGGAGCUUGU
rfam:Rhizobium sp. Pop5 Contig354, whole genome shotgun sequence.